CAGCUGUUAAGAGGCAAGCGUGCAGCCCUCCUCCUUCCCUUCCACCUCCGGGCAUCGUCAACCACUGCAACCUGAGUCCCUUUCCGGCAGACAGGUCCUUCGUUCGGUCUCCAGGUUCCCUCUCCACCAUCACCAAUGUCUAGGCUCCAUCGAGGGGAAUAUGUCUGGCUUCUAUACCCCUUUAAAAUAUUUUUAAUGAUGGAGUCUAAUCCCCAAAGACUCUAGGAGGGUGACCAUCUUGU